GACGAACCCUUGCGGCGUGCUUAACACAUGCAAGUCGAACGGAAAGGCCCUGCUUUUGUGGGGUGCUCGAGUGGCGAACGGGUGAGUAACACGUGAGUAACCUGCCCUUGACUUUGGGAUAACUUCAGGAAACUGGGGCUAAUACCGGAUAGGAGCUCCUGCUGCAUGGUGGGGGUUGGAAAGUUUCGGCGGUUGGGGAUGGACUCGCGGCUUAUCAGCUUGUUGGUGGGGUAGUGGCUUACCAAGGCUUUGACGGGUAGCCGGCCUGAGAGGGUGACCGGCCACAUUGGGACUGAGAUACGGCCCAGACUCCUACGGGAGGCAGCAGUGGGGAAUAUUGCACAAUGGGCGGAAGCCUGAUGCAGCAACGCCGCGUGCGGGAUGACGGCCUUCGGGUUGUAAACCGCUUUCGCCUGUGACGAAGCGUGAGUGAUGGUAAUGGGUAAAGAAGCACCGACUAACUACGUGCCAGCAGCCGCGGUGAUACGUAGGGUGCGAGCGUUGUCCGGAUUUAUUGGGCGUAAAGGGCUCGUAGGUGGUUGAUCGCGUCGGAAGUGUAAUCUUGGGGCUUAACCCUGAGCGUGCUUUCGAUGCGGGUUGACUUGAGGAAGGUAGGGGAGAAUGGAAUUCCUGGUGGAGCGGUGGAAUGCGCAGAUAUCAGGAGGAACACCAGUGGCGAAGGCGGUUCUCUGGGCCUUUCCUGACGCUGAGGAGCGAAAGCGUGGGGAGCGAACAGGCUUAGAUACCCUGGUAGUCCACGCUGUAAACGGUGGGUACUAGGUGUGGGGUCCAUUCCACGGGUUCCGUGCCGUAGCUAACGCUUUAAGUACCCCGCCUGGGGAGUACGGCCGCAAGGCUAAAACUCAAAGGAAUUGACGGGGCCCCGCACAAGCGGCGGAGCAUGCGGAUUAAUUCGAUGCAACGCGUAGAACCUUACCUGGGUUUGACAUGGAUCGGGAGUGCUCAGAGAUGGGUGUGCCUCUUUUGGGGUCGGUUCACAGGUGGUGCAUGGCUGUCGUCAGCUCGUGUCGUGAGAUGUUGGGUUAAGUCCCGCAACGAGCGCAACCCUUGUUCACUGUUGCCAGCACGUUAUGGUGGGGACUCAGUGGAGACCGCCGGGGUCAACUCGGAGGAAGGUGGGGAUGACGUCAAGUCAUCAUGCCCCUUAUGUCCAGGGCUUCACGCAUGCUACAAUGGCUGGUACAGAGAGUGGCGAGCCUGUGAGGGUGAGCGAAUCUCGGAAAGCCGGUCUCAGUUCGGAUUGGGGUCUGCAACUCGACCUCAUGAAGUCGGAGUCGCUAGUAAUCGCAGAUCAGCAACGCUGCGGUGAAUACGUUCCCGGG
rnacentral:rRNA from 1 species